rnacentral:lncRNA from 1 species
UCCUGAGGUUUCAAUUGGAUUUGGGGUGACCCCAAGCUUUCUCUAAACAAGGAUAAAUUGAUCAUCCCUAGAGAUGAGGAUGAUUUUCAUAAGUUACUUGAUGUAGAGGUGCCGAAGUUAAGCGAUCUCAUGGCUGAGCAGAUAUUCUAUAAUGUUGGCCUCAGUCUAGCUCUUCUUUUGGAUAUGUUUGAGUCUAUUUUGUCUUGUUGGUCAUCUGGUCCUCAUUAGUUGAUUUAACAUUAACUUGAUGCCUUUGGUUUUUAUAGCAAUGAGGCCUACACCCACAGCGAUCAAGCUUUUCUUUAAGAAAAAGAGGCCAAGCUUCACCUCAGAGGGAGGCACUUC